rnacentral:rRNA from 1 species
AUUGAACGCUGGCGGCAGGCCUAACACAUGCAAGUCGAGCGGAUGAAGGGAGCUUGCUCCUGGAUUCAGCGGCGGACGGGUGAGUAAUGCCUAGGAAUCUGCCUGGUAGUGGGGGAUAACGUCCGGAAACGGGCGCUAAUACCGCAUACGUCCUGAGGGAGAAAGUGGGGGAUCUUCGGACCUCACGCUAUCAGAUGAGCCUAGGUCGGAUUAGCUAGUUGGUGGGGUAAAAGCCUACCAAGGCGACGAUCCGUAACUGGUCUGAGAGGAUGAUCAGUCACACUGGAACUGAGACACGGUCCAGACUCCUACGGGAGGCAGCAGUGGGGAAUAUUGGACAAUGGGCGAAAGCCUGAUCCAGCCAUGCCGCGUGUGUGAAGAAGGUCUUCGGAUCGUAAAGCACUUUAAGUUGGGAGGAAGGGCAGUAAGUUAAUACCUUGCUGUUUUGACGUUACCAACAGAAUAAGCACCGGCUAACUUCGUG